GUGAGGAAUAUUGGACAAUGGGCGCAAGCCUGAUCCAGCCAUGCCGCGUGCAGGAAGACGCAUCUAUGGUGUGUAAACUGCUUUUGUACGGGAAGAAACACUCCCUCGUGAGGGAGCUUGACGGUACCGUAAGAAUAAGGAUCGGCUAACUCCGUGCCAGCAGCCGCGGUAAUACGGAGGAUCCAAGCGUUAUCCGGAAUCAUUGGGUUUAAAGGGUCCGUAGGCGGUUUAAUAAGUCAGUGGUGAAAGCCCAUCGCUCAACGAUGGAACGGCCAUUGAUACUGUUAGACAUGAAUUACAAGGAAGUAACUAGAAUAUGUAGUGUAGCGGUGAAAUGCUUAGAUAUUACAUGGAAUACCAAUUGCGAAGGCAGGUUACUACUUGUGGAUUGACGCUGAUGGACGAAAGCGUGGGGAGCGAACAGGAUUAGAUACCCUAGUAGUCC
rnacentral:rRNA from 1 species